rnacentral:rRNA from 1 species
GACGAACGCUGGCGGCGUGCUUAACACAUGCAAGUCGAACGGGAAGGCCCUGCUUUUGUGGGGUGCUUGAGUGGCGAACGGGUGAGUAACACGUGAGUAACCUGCCCUUGACUUUGGGAUAACUUCAGGAAACUGGGGCUAAUACCGGAUAGGAGCUCCUGCUGCAUGGUGGGGGUUGGAAAGUUUCGGCGGUUGGGGAUGGACUCGCGGCGUAUCAGCUUGUUGGUGGGGUAGUGGCUUACCAAGGCAUUGACGGGUAGCCGGCCUGAGAGGGCGACCGGGCAAAUUGGGACUGGGAUACGGCCCAGAUUCAAACGGUGGGCAGCAGGGGGGAAUAUUGCACAAUGGGCGGAAGCCUGAGGCAGCACCGCCGCGUGCGGGAUGACUGCCUUCGGGUUGAAAACCGCUUUCGCCUGAGACAAAGCGUGAGUGACGGUAAUGGGUAAAGAGGCACCGGCUGACUACAUG